rnacentral:rRNA from 1 species
AACGCGAAGAACCUUACCUACCCUUGACAUGCCAGGAAUCCUGAAGAGAUUUGGGUGUGCUCGAAAGAGAGCCUGGACACAGGUGCUGCAUGGCCGUCGUCAGCUCGUGUCGUGAGAUGUUGGGUUAAGUCCCGCAACGAGCGCAACCCUUGUCAUUAGUUGCUACGAAAGGGCACUCUAAUGAGACUGCCGGUGACAAACCGGAGGAAGGUGGGGAUGACGUCAGGUCAUCAUGGCCCUUAUGGGUAGGGCUACACACGUCAUACAAUGGCCGGGACAGAGGGCUGCCAACCCGCGAGGGGGAGCUAAUCCCAGAAACCCGGUCGUAGUCCGGAUCGUAGUCUGCAACUCGACUGCGUGAAGUCGGAAUCGCUAGUAAUCGCGGAUCAGCUUGCCGCGGUGAACACGUUCCCGGGUCUUGUACACACCG